UCUGUUGGAACUGACGGCUAAUGUGAGUUCUUUUAUAGAUGGUAAGGAAGGUUCGGCCAUGAGACGUCGAGGUCGUCCUCCUAAGAGGCAGAACUUACAAGGAAAAAAGCUGUUUAACAAGCACACUUCUAGCGAAGACGAGGAAUCAAUCUGUGGAUCUGACCAGGACGCAGAUGAAGAAAAACAAGAUGACGAAGAGGAGGUCCCUCUAAUACAAUCUAUUAAGUCAUCAUCCAAGCUAAGGUCUCUGAAGACAUCAAAGAGAGCUGAGGCCAUAUGAGAACUGGUCAUUCUGGUCUCUGUUUAGAUUGGUUCUAUUCCAAAGUAUCAGGUUCUCCAAUCUUUGAAGGUCUUUUCUCUGUCACCAUGAGCAAACAGUUUCCUUGUGAACCAUACUAGUUUGAGGAAGCUUUUGUUGAAAGUAUAGACAUUAGGUGCAGCCUUUGUGUAUUUAAUAGGUUUCUUGUCAUUCUCAUAUCCUUUUUCUCUUAUAGCUAUAUUUGCAAUAUCUUUUUGCCAAUUUCAAUACUUUUAUUGAUUUGCUAGCUUA